UACGGAGGGUGCAAGCGUUGUUCGGAAUUACUGGGCGUAAAGCGCGUGUAGGCGGCCGCGUAAGUCCGACGUGAAAGCCCGGGGCUCAACCCCGGAAGUGCGUUGGAAACUGCGUGGCUUGAGUACUGGAGGGGAAAGUGGAAUUCCGAGUGUAGAGGUGAAAUUCGUAGAUAUUCGGAGGAACACCAGUGGCGAAGGCGACUUUCUGGACAGAUACUGACGCUGAGACGCGAAAGCGUGGGGAGCAAAC
rnacentral:rRNA from 1 species